AGCAGUAGCCGCGGUAAUACAGAGGGUGCGAGCGUUAAUCGGAUUUACUGGGCGUAAAGCGUGCGUAGGCGGCUUUUUAAGUCGGAUGUGAAAUCCCUGAGCUUAACUUAGGAAUUGCAUUCGAUACUGGGAAGCUAGAGUAUGGGAGAGGAUGGUAGAAUUCCAGGUGUAGCGGUGAAAUGCGUAGAGAUCUGGAGGAAUACCGAUGGCGAAGGCAGCCAUCUGGCCUAAUACUGACGCUGAGGUACGAAAGCAUGGGGAGCAAACAGGAUUAGAUACCCCCGUAGUCCCUGUCUCUUAUAU
rnacentral:rRNA from 1 species